rnacentral:rRNA from 1 species
GGAUACCGCUUUCACGUUGGAAAAACGGAAAGCUGGAAACGGUCCGCCGCCGGAGGACGUGACUGCGGCCGAUUAGGUAGACGGUGGGGUAACGGCCCACCGUGCCAAUAAUCGGUACGGGUUGUGAGAGCAAGAGCCCGGAGACGGAAUCUGAGACAAGAUUCCGGGCCCUACGGGGCGCAGCAGCCGCGAAACCUUUACACUGCACGACAGUGCGAUAAGGGGAUCCCGAGUGCGAGGGCAUACAGUCCUCGCUUUUCGUGACCGUAAGGUGGUCACAGAAUAAGGGCUGGGCAAGACCGGUGCCAGCCGCCGCGGUAAUACCGGCAGCCCGAGUGAUAGCCAAUUUUAUUGGGCCUAAAGCGUCCGUAGCCGGCCGAACGGGUCCGUCGGGAAAUCCACCCGCUUAACGGGUGGGCGUCCGGCGGAAACCAGUCGGCUUGGGGCCGGGAGACCAGAGGGGUACGUCCGGGGUAGGAGUGAAAUCCUGUAAUCCUGGACGGACCACCGGUUGCGAAAGCGCCUCUGGAGAACGGACCCGACGGUGAGGGACGAAAGCUAGGGUCUCGAACCGGAUUAGAUACCCGGGUAGUCCUAGCCGUAAACGAUGCUCGCUAGGUGUGACGCAGGCUACGAGCCUGCGUUGCGCCGUAGGGAAGCCGAGAAGCGAGCCGCCUGGGAAGUACGUCCGCAAGGAUGAAACUUAAAGGAAUUGGCGGGGGAGCACUACAACCGGAGGAGCCUGCGGUUUAAUUGGACUCAACGCCGGACAUCUCACCGGCACCGACAACGUGCAGUGACGGUCAGUUUGAUGAGCUUACCUGAGCCGUUGAGAGGAGGUGCAUGGCCGCCGUCAGCUCGUACCGUGAGGCGUCCUGUUAAGUCAGGCAACGAGCGAGACCCGCGUCCAUAAUUGCCAGCAGCACCCUUGUGGUGG